UGGCUCAGUUGGUAGAGCAUGGUCUUUGCAACGCCAGGGUUGUGGGUUCGACUCCCAU
rfam:Salmo salar isolate Sally breed double haploid chromosome ssa20, whole genome shotgun sequence.